rnacentral:rRNA from 1 species
UACAGAGGGUGCGAGCGUUGUCCGGAAUUAUUGGGCGUAAAGAGCGUGUAGGCGGUUCGGUAAGUCUGCCGUGAAAACCUGGGGCUCAACCCCGGGCGUGCGGUGGAUACUGCCGGGCUAGAGGGUGGUAGAGGCGAGUGGAAUUCCCGGUGUAGCGGUGAAAUGCGCAGAUAUCGGGAGGAACACCGGUGGCGAAGGCGGCUCUCUGGACCACUACUGACGCUGAGGCGCGAAAGCUAGGGGAGCAAACAGG